GACGAACGCUGGCGGCGUGCUUAACACAUGCAAGUCGAACGGAAAGGCCCUGCUUGUGUGGUGUUCUCGAGUGGCGAACGGGUGUGUAACACGUGAGUAACCUGCCCUUGACUUGGGUAUAACUUGGGGAAACUGGGUCUAAUACCGUAUAGGAGCUCCUGCUUCAUGUUGUUGGUUGGAAAUUUUGGUCUGGUGGGGGUGGACGCCCGGCUUAUAAGCUGGUUGGUGGGGUAGUGGCUUACCAAGGCUUUGAGGGGUGGCCGGCCUGAGAGGGUGACCGGCACAAUUGGGACUGAGAUACGGCCAAGACUCCGACGGGAGGAAGAAGUGGGGAAUAUUGAACAAUGGGCGGAAGCCUGAUGAAGUAAGGCCGCGUGCGGGAUGACGGCCUCCGGGUUGUAACCCGCUUCCGCAUGUAACGAAGCGUGAGUGACGGUAAUUGGUAAAGAAGCACCGGCUAACUACGUG
rnacentral:rRNA from 1 species